rnacentral:rRNA from 1 species
CUGGCUCAGAUUGAACGCUGGCGGCAUGCCUUACACAUGCAAGUCGAACGGCAGCAUGGGAGCUUGCUCCUGAUGGCGAGUGGCGAACGGGUGAGUAAUAUAUCGGAACGUACCCUAGAGUGGGGGAUAACGCAGCGAAAGUUGCGCUAAUACCGCAUACGAUCUACGGAUGAAAGUGGGGGAUCGCAAGACCUCAUGCUCAUGGAGCGGCCGAUAUCUGAUUAGCUAGUUGGUGGGGUAAAGGCCUACCAAGGCUUCGAUCAGUAGCUGGUCUGAGAGGACGACCAGCCACACUGGAACUGAGACACGGUCCAGACUCCUACGGGAGGCAGCAGUGGGGAAUUUUGGACAAUGGGCGCAAGCCUGAUCCAGCAAUGCCGCGUGAGUGAAGAAGGCCUUCGGGUUGUAAAGCUCUUUUGUCAGGGAAGAAACGGUGAACUCUAAUACAGUUUGCUAAUGACGGUACCUGAAGAAUAAGCACCGGCUAACUACGUGCCAGCAGCCGCGGUAAUACGUAGGGUGCAAGCGUUAAUCGGAAUUACUGGGCGUAAAGCGUGCGCAGGCGGUUAUGUAAGUCAGAUGUGAAAUCCCCGGGCUCAACCUGGGAAUGGCAUUUGAGACUGCAUGGCUAGAGUGUGUCAGAGGGGGGUAGAAUUCCACGUGUAGCAGUGAAAUGCGUAGAGAUGUGGAGGAAUACCGAUGGCGAAGGCAGCCCCCUGGGAUAACACUGACGCUCAUGCACGAAAGCGUGGGGAGCAAACAGGAUUAGAUACCCUGGUAGUCCACGCCCUAAACGAUGUCUACUAGUUGUCGGGACUUAAUUGUCUUGGUAACGCAGCUAACGCGUGAA